GGCGGUGAUGCUGGGAAAAGGCCACACUGGCCCCUAGAAAGGGGUGUCCCAGACUCAUGCUCUACAGCGACAUGGAGUUAUCAGCACCGCUUACCUUUAGAUCCAUAGGAUAGCGGGGCUGGAUAAAUGUCUGGAAACCUGACAGCCUUUCAGCUGGCUUUCUCAGCGCUGUCAAAGCACUGCUCUGAGCAUCUUCAGCUAGCCCAGAGCAAAAUACAGUCACCUCAGUGCGCGAGCCGAGCAGGAAAGCUAUAGGGGAGUGGGAAGAGCCAAGAAGAGCAGUGGCACUAGGAUACGGGAAGCAGGUAUCCCUGCUAUCCAAAUGUCCGGAGGAAGAGCCAGAUUUUCCUCGUGGCCACACGGAGCCCAAGCACUGUGACUGGGAGCAUCAUUCCCACAGGGCACGCACGCAUGGGACAGAUGACAGAGCAAGGCCAAGCAGCGUGCCGGCCCCGUCUCGGUGGAGCUGUUCUCGUUUCUAGUGGCCACGGAGCUGAUUUUGGUUAUGCACAAAGCAAAAGUACUGCCAAGAUAACCCCAAGCUGCCAAUUCGCUGCUCACAGAUCUAUCCAUCUAGACAUCAAUUCACGUUACACACACGCUUUGAUCGUGGAUAGCCCAUAUGUAAAAAAUCACACAUGGAGGCAGCUCUAAUUUACAGUUCGUUAUAUAUCCCUGUAGGCUUGCAGCCCUGCAGGCUGUAGUUUUGGCCUCUGCUACUUUACAAAGUAAAUAUACACGUAUAGAAUUCCCCAGGUGCUGCCCCCUCCCUCACUCUUUAUACUGGAGGUGUACAAAUGCUGAACAAAGGCACUUUUGCUGCAUGGUUCUAUCAGUGUAUUUUCUCCCCAGCCUAAACCAGUGCUCCAGAAGAAACAGAAACUACACAUCUGCAACGCCUUGCAAUAACUGCCUCACCAGUGGGCAUGAACAGUGAAGAAUAUCAGGCUAGCAGCCCUAUGGAAUAAUUUGCCUUCAAGAGCCCCUGGAUUCGCUCCAGUAUUUUUGAGCUAGGAGACUGCAGUGAAAUAUCUUCUUAGCAUGCCUGUGUUUCAAACCAUCAGGCUACUCACAUGCAUGAAGUUAAAUGCGGAUG
rnacentral:lncRNA from 1 species